rnacentral:rRNA from 1 species
UGGGGAAUAUUGCACAAUUGGCGCAAGCCUGAUGCAGCCAUGCCGCGUGUGUGAAGAAGGCCUUCGGGUUGUAAAGCACUUUCAGCGGGGAGGAAGGCGAUAAGGUUAAUAACCUUGUCGAUUGACGUUACCCGCAGAAGAAGCACCGGCUAACUCCGUGCCAGCAGCCGCGGUAAUACGGAGGGUGCAAGCGUUAAUCGGAAUUACUGGGCGUAAAGCGCACGCAGGCGGUUUGUUAAGUCAGAUGUGAAAUCCCCGGGCUCAACCUGGGAACUGCAUCUGAUACUGGCAAGCUUGAGUCUCGUAGAGGAGGGUAGAAUUCCAGGUGUAGCGGUGAAAUGCGUAGAGAUCUGGAGGAAUACCGGUGGCGAAGGCGGCCCCCUGGACGAAGACUGACGCUCAGGUGCGAAAGCGUGGGGAGCAAACAGG